AGAGUUUGAUCCUGGCUCAGGACGAACGCUGGCGGCGUGCUUAACACAUGCAAGUCGAACGAGAGGAGAAGGAAGCUUGCUUCUUUCAAAUCUAGUGGCAAACGGGUGAGUAACACGUAAACAACCUGCCUUCAGGAUGGGGACAACAGACGGAAACGACUGCUAAUACCGAAUACGUUCCUUAGGUCGCAUGACCCAAGGAAGAAAGGGUGGCCUCUACUUGUAAGCUAUCGCCUGAAGAGGGGUUUGCGUCUGAUUAGGUAGUUGGUGAGGUAACGGCCCACCAAGCCGACGAUCAGUAGCCGGUCUGAGAGGAUGAACGGCCACACUGGAACUGAGACACGGUCCAGACUCCUACGGGAGGCAGCAGUGGGGAAUCUUCCGCAAUGGGCGAAAGCCUGACGGAGCAACGCCGCGUGAGUGAUGACGGCCUUCGGGUUGUAAAGCUCUGUGAUCGGGGACGAACGGUCAGCAGACGAAUACUCUGCUGAAGUGACGGUACCCGAAUAGCAAGCCACGGCUAACUACGUGCCAGCAGCCGCGGUAAUACGUAGGUGGCAAGCGUUGUCCGGAAUUAUUGGGCGUAAAGCGCGCGCAGGCGGCUUCUUAAGUCCAUCUUAAAAGUGCGGGGCUUAACCCCGUGAUGGGAUGGAAACUGAGAGGCUGGAGUAUCGGAGAGGAAAGUGGAAUUCCUAGUGUAGCGGUGAAAUGCGUAGAGAUUAGGAAGAACACCGGUGGCGAAGGCGACUUUCUGGACGACAACUGACGCUGAGGCGCGAAAGCGUGGGGAGCAAACAGGAUUAGAUACCCUGGUAGUCCACGCCGUAAACG
rnacentral:rRNA from 1 species